rnacentral:rRNA from 1 species
UACGGAGGGUGCAAGCGUUAUCCGGAUUCACUGGGUUUAAAGGGUGCGUAGGUGGGUUGGUAAGUCAGUGGUGAAAUCUCCGAGCUUAACUUGGAAACUGCCAUUGAUACUAUCAAUCUUGAAUAUUGUGGAGGUCAGCGGAAUAUGUCAUGUAGCGGUGAAAUGCUUAGAUAUGACAUAGAACACCCAAUUGCGAAGGCAGCUGGCUACACAUAUAUUGACACUGAGGCACGAAAGCGUGGGGAUCAAACAGG